GUGGGGAAUCUUCCGCAAUGGACGAAAGUCUGACGGAGCGACGCCGCGUGAGUGAUGAAGGCCCUUGGGUCGUAAAGCUCUGUCAUCAGGGACGAACGGUCACGUCAGGAAAUGGGCGUGAAUUGACGGUACCUGAGAAGGAAGCCACGGCUAACUACGUGCCAGCAGCCGCGGUAAUACGUAGGUGGCGAGCGUUGUCCGGAAUUAUUGGGCGUAAAGCGCGCGCAGGUGGGAUCUUAAGUCUGUUCUGAAAGUUCGGAGCUUAACUCCGUGAUGGGAUGGAAACUGGGAUUCUUGAGUAUCGGAGAGGAAAGCGGAAUUCCCCGUGUAGCGGUGAAAUGCGUAGAUAUGGGGAGGAACACCAGUGGCGAAGGCGGCUUUCUGGACGAUGUCUGACACUGAGGCGCGAAAGCCAGGGGAGCGAACGGGAUUAGAAACCCGGGUAGUCC
rnacentral:rRNA from 1 species